rnacentral:rRNA from 1 species
GACGUAGGGAGCGAGCGUUGUCCGGAUUCAUUGGGCGUAAAGAGCGCGCAGGCGGUUUGGUAAGUCGGAUGUGAAAACCCGGGGCUCAACCCCGGGCGUGCAUCUCGAUACUGCCCGACUAGAGGUAGGUAGGGGAGAUCGGAAUUCCUGGUGUAGCGGUGAAAUGCGCAGAUAUCAGGAGGAACACCGGUGGCGAAGGCGGCUACCUGGACCGGCACUGACGCUGAGGCGCGAAAGCCAGGGGAGCGAAUGGG